rnacentral:tRNA from 1 species
GCCGAAGUGGCGGAAUGGCAGACGCGGGCGACUCAAAAUCGUCUGGGGUGAUCCCUCGUGGGGGUUCGACUCCCCCCUUCGGCACCA